CGUAGGGUGCGAGCGUUAAUCGGAAUUACUGGGCGUAAAGCGUGCGCAGGCGGUUAUAUAAGACAGAUGUGAAAUCCCCGGGCUCAACCUGGGAACUGCAUUUGUGACUGUAUAGCUAGAGUACGGCAGAGGGGGAUGGAAUUCCGCGUGUAGCAGUGAAAUGCGUAGAUAUGCGGAGGAACACCGAUGGCGAAGGCAAUCCCCUGGGCCUGUACUGACGCUCAUGCACGAAAGCGUGGGGAGCAAACAGGAUUAGAUACCCUGGUAGUCCACGCCCUAAACGAUGUCAACUGGUUGUUGGGUCUUCACUGACUCAGUACGAAGCUAACGCGUGAAGUUGACCGCCUGGGGAGUACGGCCGCAAGGUUG
rnacentral:rRNA from 1 species